GUCGUAACAAGGUCUCCGUUGGUGAACCAGCGGAGGGAUCAUUACCGAGUUUACAACUCCCAAACCCCUGUGAACAUACCUUAUGUUGCCUCGGCGGAUCAGCCCGCGCCCCGUAAAAAGGGACGGCCCGUCGCAGGAACCCUAAACUCUGUUUUUAGUGGAACUUCUGAGUAUAAAAAACAAAUAAAUCAAAACUUUCAACAACGGAUCUCUUGGUUCUGGCAUCGAUGAAGAACGCAGCAAAAUGCGAUAAGUAAUGUGAAUUGCAGAAUUCAGUGAAUCAUCGAAUCUUUGAACGCACAUUGCGCCCGCCAGUAUUCUGGCGGGCAUGCCUGUUCGAGCGUCAUUUCAACCCUCAAGCCCAGCUUGGUGUUGGGAGCUGCAGUCCUGCUGCACUCCCCAAAUACAUUGGCGGUCACGUCGAGCUUCCAUAGCGUAGUAAUUUACACAUCGUUACUGGUAAUCGUCGCGGCCACGCCGUUAAACCCCAACUUCUGAAUGUUGACCUCGGAUCAGGUAGGAAUACCCGCUGAACUUAAGCAUAUCA
rnacentral:rRNA from 1 species